CCUACGGGGUGCAGCAGUGAGGAAUAUUGGUCAAUGGACGAGAGUCUGAACCAGCCAAGUAGCGUGAAGGAUGACUGCCCUAUGGGUUGUAAACUUCUUUUAUAUGGGAAUAAAAUGUUCCACGUGUGGGAUUUUGUAUGUACCAUAGGAAUAAGGAUCGGCUAACUACUUGCCAGCAGACGCGGUAAUACGGAGGAUCCGAGCGUUAUCCGGAUUUCUUGGGUUUAAAGGGAGCGUCGGUGGAUUGUUAAGUCAGUUGGGAAAGUUUGCGGCUCAACCGUAAAAUUGCAGUUGAAACUGGCAGUCUUGAGUACAGUAGAGGUGGGCGGAAUUCGUGGUGUAGCGGUGAAAUGCUUAGAUAUCACGAAGAACUCCGAUUGCGAAGGCAGUUCACUGGACUGCAACUGACACUGCGUCUCGAAAGUGUGGGUAUCAAACAGGAUUAGAUACCCUUGUAGUC
rnacentral:rRNA from 1 species